UUUUUUUUUUUUUUUUUUUUUUGUUUUUUUAUUUUUUUUUUUUUUUUUUUUUUUUUUAUUUUUUUUUUUUUUUUUUUUUUUUUUUUUUUUAAAUUUUUUUUUUUUUUUUUUUUUUUUUUUUAUAUUUUUUUUUGUUUUUUUUUUUUUUUUUUUUUUUUUUUUUUUUUUUUUUUAUUUUUUUUUUUUUUUUUUUUUUUUUUUUUUUUUUUUUUUUUUUUUUUUUUUU
rnacentral:lncRNA from 1 species